rnacentral:rRNA from 1 species
UACAGAGGUGGCAAGCGUUGUUCGGAAUUACUGGGCGUAAAGGGCGCGUAGGCGGCCUUCUAAGUCAGACGUGAAAUCCCCAGGCUUAACUUGGGAACUGCGUCUGAUACUGGGAGGCUUGAAUGCGGGAGAGGGAUGUGGAAUUCCAGGUGUAGCGGUGAAAUGCGUAGAUAUCAGGAGGAACACCGGUGGCGAAGGCGGGAUCCUGGGCCAGUACUGACGCUGAGGAGCGAAAGCGUGGGGAGCAAACAGG